rnacentral:rRNA from 1 species
CAGCAAGGGAGCGGCAGACGGGUGAGUAACGCGUGGGAACCUGCCCAGGGGUACGGAAUAACUCAUGGAAACGUGAGCUAAUACCGUAUGUGUCCUGUGGGAGAAAGAUUUAUCGCCCUUGGAUGGGCCCGCGUUGGAUUAGCUUGUUGGUGGGGUAAUGGCCUACCAAGGCGACGAUCCAUAGCUGUUCUGAGAGGAAGAUCAGCCACACUGGGACUGAGACACGGCCCAGACUCCUACGGGAGGCAGCAGUGGGGAAUCUUGGACAAUGGGCGCAAGCCUGAUCCAGCCAUGCCGCGUGAGUGAUGAAGGCCCUAGGGUUGUAAAGCUCUUUCACCGGUGACGAUAAUGAUGGUAGCCGGAGAAGAAGCCCCGGCUAACUUCGUG